CAGUUUAUCAUAAGAAAUGUUAAUGUUUUUAAAAAAACUAUCAACUAUGAUGUCAGUUCAACUAUUUCCUCAUUUAAUUGCCUCAGAACCACCUUGAGAUUUCUUAAUGGCACAGGCAAAGCUGAAAGCAGUUCUUAUAAGAAUAAAGGGGUAGGCCUAAAUUACUUCUACAACAGCAAGUGGAGAUGGCCUAGUAUGAGGCAAAGAUGGGAGUAAGAUCUGUAAAAGUUGACUUAGUUUUCUUGCUGCUUUUUGGAAGAGAACUGAAAAAGGAGUGGGCUAACAAUCAGCUUCUUCUCCACCCUUCCCUAACCAUGAAAUGUUUCUAUGAUCCUGCCCUAUAUGAUUCACUUCAGUGCAGGCAAAUUCUGAUUUCAGGACUCCAGGAAUCUUUCUGCUAGUAACAACUAGCCAAAGUAUAACCACAGUCUUGCUGCCAACUCCUGUCAGCACUCAGGUCUGUAGAAUCCUAGAACAGCCCCUGAGUGACUCACGUCAUAAUUCUCAUUCUUUUUUUAAUACAUCACUAUGAUUGUGUAUUUUGUGUAAUGCUUUCAUUUGUUGCAGUUGCUGAUGUAGCCUCCUAGAGUUUUUUGUUUUGUUUAGUUUUUUAAAGAACAUACUCCAGGAAGUAUAGUAGGCUCAUCUGAAGAGAGGAAAUUUAAAACAAGAGCCCAAACUGGACACAGUAGAUGUGGCCUUACCAGUGCCAGAAGUAUUGGAGAGAGAACUCAAAUUAGAUGAUGGUCGGGAUCCCACUCUGUCAGCUUGAGCCUCAUGAAGGUCCUGCAGAAGCUUAGCUGUUUCAUCGAGAUGUAAAUGGU